UGCUGCUGCUUACUGGGAGGAAGAGUGGGAGGGGCAAGGCAGUGAGGAGGUUGGCACUGUGCAACUCGCCAGCGGGGCCAGUGCAGUGCUGCUGCCAAUGCAUUUGCACAGCGCUAACCUCCCCACCGCUUUCCCCUCCCAAGUUCCCUCCCGGUAAGCGGCAGU